GAUGAACGCUGGUGGCGUGCCUAAUACAUGCAAGUCGAGCGAACAGACGAGAAGCUUGCUUCUCUGAUGUUAGCGGCGGACGGGUGAGUAACACGUGGAUAACCUACCUAUAAGACUGGGAUAACUUCGGGAAACCGGAGCUAAUACCGGAUAAUAUUUUGAACCGCAUGGUUCAAAAGUGAAAGACGGUCUUGCUGUCACUUAUAGAUGGAUCCGCGCUGCAUUAGCUAGUUGGUAAGGUAACGGCUUACCAAGGCAACGAUGCAUAGCCGACCUGAGAGGGUGAUCGGCCACACUGGAACUGAGACACGGUCCAGACUCCUACGGGAGGCAGCAGUAGGGAAUCUUCCGCAAUGGGCGAAAGCCUGACGGAGCAACGCCGCGUGAGUGAUGAAGGUCUUCGGAUCGUAAAACUCUGUUAUUAGGGAAGAACAUAUGUGUAAGUAACUGUGCACAUCUUGACGGUACCUAAUCAGAAAGCCACGGCUAACUACGUG
rnacentral:rRNA from 1 species